rnacentral:lncRNA from 1 species
AUGGCAAGCCACCUGCUUCGGUUGGUGGCGGAAUUGACUCAAUCCCGUGUAGGCCUUUCACCGAGGACGCUCCGGAUCCUGAGCGAGAGGAACUACAGCACUGCACCCCCUCUGCCGCAGCCAGAUCACUUCGGGCACGGAGGAAGAGCAUGGGCAGCUGGCCCAGGACCCACCAUAUCACCUGAGCCAAGCAGGAGAGGCCCCUGCUCACCCUUGCAAAUGCGCUUGCCUUUGUCAGAUUGUGAGUUUGGAAGGAGAAGAAGCUGGGCAGAAAUCACCGAAACCCUCUUGGGUCCGCUCUCCCGUGUUGUAAAUCUCACGGAACAGGCCAUCUGGUCCAGGUCUGCCACAGUGGGAUUGGUAACUGCUGGCACUGGACAUGAGCUGGGAUUUUCUAUUGUAAACCUUUUGCUCCGCCUAGGGCUGGGCUCAGGCGCAAGGUUACGCAUAGCUCUGACCAUAUCAGAAGCAACACAAGGGCCAUCCUUUUAGAUGAAGCAUUCCCAUGAGGCAAGCUCAGAGACAUUCUCCCCUAUCCUUUCUCAUUUCACCCUGUCCUCAUCAUCAUUCGUCUCCAAGGAGUCUGCAAGAAGGGUCUGUGCCCAGGUCAGUCAGGAUAUGUUUUCCAAGAGGUACCCUGGGACUACAGUGGGGACACGCAGUCACAGUCGUCAUCUGACGGCACCCUACAAUGACCGUGAUAAGAAGCCACUGUCUCCAAGUCUCGUUCCCCAUCCUGUAGGGCAGGAGCCUG